UACAGAGGGUGCAAGCGUUAAUCGGAAUUACUGGGCGUAAAGGGCGCGUAGGCGGAUUUUUAAGUCAGGGGUGAAAUCCCAAGGCUCAACCUUGGAACUGCCUUUGAUACUGGGGAUCUUGAGUCCGGGAGAGGUGAGUGGAACUGCGAGUGUAGAGGUGAAAUUCGUAGAUAUUCGCAAGAACACCAGUGGCGAAGGCGGCUCACUGGCCCGGAACUGACGCUGAGGCGCGAAAGCGUGGGGAGCAAACAGG
rnacentral:rRNA from 1 species